AUGGUAUCAUGGCACAGCAUUUGCUGCAACUUGCUUGAAGAAAACAAGAUGGGUGGUGCUGAAAUGGGCAUGCUUUGUCCUGGGAAGUGUGAAGGUGUGACGGCCACCCCCUCACCUGAGAGCACUGACCAGACCUUCGGACCUCCAGGGCUGAAAUGUCACCAUAGCUGGUUACAGUUCAUGCCUGCAAAUACAAAGAAACUGUAUGGAGACAGCAAUGUACAGGACUUGCUAGGCUGUGGAUUCAGAUGUGUGCCAAGACCAAGGUUCAGAGAAGAUGAUUUGCACCAGGAAUGCAGAAGCAAGAAGCAGAGACUUGGUAAAGAGAAUCUGGACUUUUUGCCAAUGUGCAAUGAUAGUUGGAGAGACGAGAUUUGGGGAAAAAAUCUAAGCCCCAAAACCUAGUGUAGAAAAUGUUCCACCUGCUGUGAAAAUAAAAAGGAAGGAGGGGAAAAAAGAAGUCUGAGG
rnacentral:lncRNA from 1 species